rnacentral:lncRNA from 1 species
CUGUAGUAAGCAGUAAGAGUUCUUUUUCUAUAUAUAUGCGUCUUUGUGUCGGCCGGCGUACGGGUACUUUGUAUGUAUUCGUUUUAUUAAAUGCAUUCUGGUUAGGAUUUGGUCAUGGCAUCACCUUGAUGUUUUGAUUUCUUUAAAUCUGGUUGCAAGUUUACUGUUUUUCCACAACCAUCAACUUACACUUUGGGCAUUGGGCAUUGGAAUUUAGGCAUUUAUGUAUAAUUUUAGUUUUGGAUGUAUCCAAUGCAAAAUUACUGUCAUCUGUCAAGUUGAUUCUAAAAUGUCUCAUGAUCUUCAUUUCAGAUGGUGAUGUCUGGAUAUAGUACCAAUUUAUCUUACAUGAUAGCAUUGUCUCGUGUAUCAAUUUUUUGUUAAUGGAAAUGUUAAGAAAUCAUGAAAUUUAUUUGGACUUGCACACAUUAGGUAAGAAAGGAUCGCUAAUCUGGUUGUCCAAAUGAUGGUAAAACUUAGGCUCUUGCAUGGUUUUUGGAUUUAUGGUUCUGUUAGCAUAUAUUAUUCAUAUUGAGACUGAACAUGUGGCUUUUCUUCUCAUCUACAGGAGAGUGACAGGAGAGUUACAGGAUUAUUAUUUUUAAAGAAGUUGGAAGUCCAAGUCAAUGACUUGCUUUAUAUGUCUGUUGUAAUGUCAAAUUUUCUGGGAAUUUGGAUGUAUUGUUCAUCUUGCUGAGAAUUUUGUGUAUAUUUGCUCGCUAAAUUUAUUAAUCAAAUGCUAGAAUUCAUGUACAAAUCCUUGGAAUAAUAUUUUGUGUUUACUUGAAAUGCAUUUUUGGAUUGAACAUGGUCAAAAAAGAAUAUAUUAGUAUUAAACUUAGGUUGAUUCUAUGUUUGUGUUGUCACAUGUAUUUGAAAGACACAGGCCUCGCCCAAAUGAAAAACUGGCCAAAAUGUGUAUAGGAUAAGAUAUAUCUGUGCCUUCAUAAUUCUACAAACCAAAAAGAAUGGGAUUACAAAAAGCACAAGGUCUAACAAAUAAAUGGACUACUAAAAUCUCGAG